ACCUGUUUGGCUCAGUGGAUAGAGCGUCGGCCUGUGGACUGAAAGGUCCCAGGUUCGAUUCCUGAAAUAAAUA
rnacentral:tRNA from 1 species